rnacentral:lncRNA from 1 species
CAGUAAACAAAGCUGAUCUGAACUCUGUCAUCUUGGAACCUAUGCUUCAGAUGAGAAGAGAGGUAUCAUGUGGAUGGUCACGAGAGAUGCGCCUGGAAGAGUGCAGAUGGUAAAAGACCUGCCCCUGCCUGUGGGGAGAGAAAGGAAGGACUAUACACAUUUUUACCUUUUGAUGAUAAUGUUUUUCCUACUUCAAGUUUGAUCUUCAGGGCAUUUUUUUGUUGUUUUUACACAUUUUCUCUACAGCUAUUUUGAGGUAGGAUUCAA